rnacentral:rRNA from 1 species
AACGCUAGCUACAGGCUUAACACAUGCAAGUCGAGGGGAAACGACAUCGAAAGCUUGCUUUUGAUGGGCGUCGACCGGCGCACGGGUGAGUAACGCGUAUCCAACCUGCCCACCACUUGGGGAUAACCUUGCGAAAGUAAGACUAAUACCCAAUGAUAUCUCUAGAAGACAUCUGAAAGAGAUUAAAGAUUUAUCGGUGAUGGAUGGGGAUGCGUCUGAUUAGCUUGUUGGCGGGGUAACGGCCCACCAAGGCUACGAUCAGUAGGGGUUCUGAGAGGAAGGUCCCCCACAUUGGAACUGAGACACGGUCCAAACUCCUACGGGAGGCAGCAGUGAGGAAUAUUGGUCAAUGGACGAGAGUCUGAACCAGCCAAGUAGCGUGCAGGAUGACGGCCCUAUGGGUUGUAAACUGCUUUUAUAAGGGAAUAAAGUGAGUCUCGUGAGGCUUUUUGCAUGUACCUUAUGAAUAAGGACCGGCUAAUUCCGUGCUAGCGGCCGCGGUAAUACGGAAGGUCCGGGCGUUAUCCGGAUUUAUUGGGUUUAAAGGGAGCGUAGGCCGGAGAUUAAGCGUGUUGUGAAAUGUAGACGCUCAACGUCUGCACUGCAGCGCGAACUGGUUUCCUUGAGUACGCACAAAGUGGGCGGAAUUCGUGGUGUAGCGGUGAAAUGCUUAGAUAUCACGAAGAACUCCGAUUG